rnacentral:rRNA from 1 species
GAUGGGCCCGCGGCCUAUCAGCUUGUUGGUGGGGUGAUGGCCUACCAAGGCGACGACGGGUAGCCGGCCUGAGAGGGUGUCCGGCCACACUGGGACUGAGAUACGGCCCAGACUCCUACGGGAGGCAGCAGUGGGGAAUAUUGCACAAUGGGCGCAAGCCUGAUGCAGCGACGCCGCGUGAGGGAUGACGGCCUUCGGGUUGUAAACCUCUUUCACUAGGGACGAAGCGCAAGUGACGGUACCUAGAGAAGAAGCACCGGCCAACUACGUGCCAGCAGCCGCGGUAAUACGUAGGGUGCGAGCGUUGUCCGGAAUUACUGGGCGUAAAGAGCUCGUAGGUGGUUUGUCGCGUUGUUCGUGAAAACUCACAGCUUAACUGUGGGCGUGCGGGCGAUACGGGCAGACUGGAGUACUGCAGGGGAGACUGGAAUUCCUGGUGUAGCGGUGGAAUGCGCAGAUAUCAGGAGGAACACCGGUGGCGAAGGCGGGUCUCUGGGCAGUAACUGACGCUGAGGAGCGAAAGCGUGGGGAGCGAACAGGAUUAGAUACCCUGGUAGUCCACGCCGUAAACGGUGGGUACUAGGUGU